GGCAUUUAUUGGCAAACCGGUUGAAAAGCCGGGGCGCAAAGCCAGAAGGAGCUAAAGUCAGAUUGAAAUCUGGCCAUGCCAGCCGGUUGCAUCA
rfam:Ruminococcus sp. CAG:9 genomic scaffold, scf96